CAUGCUCCAGCUUCGAUUUAUUAGUAAUGGUCUCUAGGGACUAGAGUGACUUCAUCUUUUCCUAACGAGCUCCGGAAAUCGCGAUUUUCUUUGGAAGUGGGGAAAACGGAGAAAUGGAGACCGUUGUGAAUCUGGCUUGUUUAUUUUUACUUUCACAUCUUAGUAUCGCAGCCGCGAAUCUGGAAUUGAUCUCGUCUGACAAGACACCUUGUAAGAAAAGUGCAGUGAACUAUAAUGUCACCCUAAGUAAGGGCGCCAAGGCUGGAAAAUAUUACAAAAUGGCGGGAAUAAACAAGAUGGACGAAUGCCUGGGACACUGUUGUGGGUCUAGGAGAUGUGAUGUUGCCUUCAUGGUCAAUAAAAACUGUUAUCUAGUCAAGUGUUUUAAUUCGGACUCGUGUGCCCUCAAGCAGUCUGAUAACCCCAAGUUUGACACGAUGCUUUCUGUGGUGUCCAAACCAAAAGCUAAGACGACGAAAGGUACGU